rnacentral:rRNA from 1 species
GACGAACGCUGGCGGCGUGCUUAACACAUGCAAGUCGAACGGAAAGGCCCUGCUUUUGUGGGGUGCUCGAGUGGCGAACGGGUGAGUAACACGUGAGUAACCUGCCCUUGACUUUGGGAUAACUUCAGGAAACUGGGGCUAAUACCGGAUAGGAGCUCCUGCUGCAUGGUGGGGGUUGGAACGUUUCGGCGGUUGGGGAUGGACUCGCGGCUUAUCAGCUUGCUGGUGGGGUAGUGGCUUACCAAGGCUUUGACGGGUAGCCGGCCUGAGAGGGUGACCGGCACAAGGGGGCUGGGGGAAGGGCCAGAGCCCCACCGGGGGGAAGGGGGGGGGAAUUUGGCCAGAUGGGCGGAAGGGGGAUGGAAGACCGCCGGGGGGGGGAGGACGGUCUUGGGGUUGUAAACGGCUGUGGCUUGUAACGAGGCGGGAUGGAGGUAAAUGGGGAAAAAAGCACGGGUAAACUAGGG